GACGUAGGCGCGAGCGUUGUCCGGAUUUAUUGGGCGUAAAGAGCUCGUAGGCGGCUUGUCGCGUCGGUCCGUGAAAACUUGGGGCUCAACCCCAAGCUUGCGGUCGAUACGGGCAGGCUAGAGUUCGGUAGGGGAGACUGGAAUUCCUGGUGUAGCGGUGAAAUGCGCAGAUAUCAGGAGGAACACCGAUGGCGAAGGCAGGUCUCCUGGGCAUUAACUGACGCUGAGGAGCGAAAGCAUGGGGAGCGAACAGG
rnacentral:rRNA from 1 species